rnacentral:tRNA from 1 species
GGUAGGGUGGCCGAGUAGGUGGCAAGUUGUAGCCUUGACUACGGGGCGGAAAGCCCCCCCAACCA